rnacentral:lncRNA from 1 species
CUCCACCGGAGCCCCCCCCCCUCUUUCGGCCAAUCUUACGGACGGCGACGGAUCCGAGGGCGAGGCUGCUGCAGCUGACCGGCGGUUGGGAGGGCGCCGCCGUCGGAGCGGCUGCCGGGGACCGGGUCGCCGCCGUCCGAACCCACUCGGCGCCCUUCACCCACCGCCAGUAGAUUACCAUAAAUCCGUCCCCAGACGGCGAGCCCAAUCACAGGGUGGAUCAUUAAGAACCUGCCGGCGCAGAUUGAUCGCAGUUCCGGCACGUAUAUUUAUGCCGGGGAGACCCACUUCAAUCAAUUCCACUCCGCCAUGGGUCACUGACCGACCGACCUCACGACAGCAGUGGCAGGCGGAACUCAGGAUCUGGACCGGUUGGCAACCACACAAGCCAUGCAUGCCCACCCCCCUCCCCUCGCUGGCUUUUCUCGGACGUCGCUUUGUUGGCUUUGUGCUUUAUGUUCCCCGCGCCGGCAAAGCGGCGCUCGCAUCUCCUGGUGGACCAUCCCGCCGCCGUCGCCCGGCGACCCCAGCGGAGCCCCAAAUCCGCCCGCCGGAAGGGGGGCUCUUCCCAAACAGGCGGAGGCCCAAAGCCGCCCGUCUUUCCCCGGCCGGCGAUGAUUAAAGCAGAGCAAAAGCCGGUUGCAGGCAGCGAUUACGACCGCUCUGCGCCGCCUGCUCUGCUCUGCUCCGCCCGCCCCGCCGCGCGGGGGAGGGGCCGCC